rnacentral:lncRNA from 10 species
UCAAGAUAUUGUGUCCUUGUCAUUGGCCAGAGAUAGAUAGGAGAAAGCACAUUUGGUUCUUAAGAGUAGGGAAUUGUGUGGAAGUUAUUGGUUUUAAGGUACCAUUACAGAUAAUCUUUAAAACUUGGGUGGGAUCUCAUAAGGUGAUGAUGUAGACAAGGAAGAUAGAAGAAGCAGAGGGAUACCAUAUAGGGAGGUGUUUGGGAUGAAGGAGUCCAUGCAAAGAAGUGAGAAACAAGGCUGGAACUAUAUAGUAGAGAUCUCAGUUCCAGACUAAGGAAUAAUAGAACUGAUGGCAUUUAUGGAACACUUACUAUGCACCAAGUACUUUCUUUGGAGUAUCUUAAUGAGUCCUUACAAACUCCCCUAUGAGACAGUCUUUUGUGAAUGAGAAUCAGAGACACAGGAGUUAAGUAAUUAAUACAGAGUUUGUAAGCAUAGCAGGCAUUGAAACCCAGUCUGUCAACUCCAGAACCUAUGAACAUUUUAUCCACUGUGCUGCCUUAUGGUCAUCAACUUUACUACCUAAAGUUGCUGAUUCCUCAGACCUAGAGUUUUGCAGCCUCCUACAUGAUGGUUUUAUUUUUCAAAUAGCACAAAAAUAGCCCUUUGUGAGAUUUAUGUAGGUAAGAGGGAACCUCUGCCCUUUUGAGACACUUAGCCUUCUCCAACCCAAGUUAGGGUAUCUUUGGGCCUAAUAUUUCUGCUCUCGGAAAGCCCUAGAGGUCCUAGGCAGCAAUAGUCUCUUUAAAUGUUUAUUUAUUGCAAGGGACAAUCAGGGUCAGCUAAUCCAGGACCUGUGGCGAGGCAUGCAGAGCACUGUGGCCAGGCUCUGCUCAUGGUACACACACCCCAGGGCCAUGGGCUUUUCACCCCAACCCCACCAAACUUGCUAAAAGUGUUAGAUCUAGUCUAGAAGCCUGAGGUAACUCCUAGAUGUAAAAUUCAGGAUAUAGGCCCAAGAAUUCCUGCAUCCCAGCAAGAAGGAAGCCAGACUGUCUGCUUUUACGAACUGAAUUGAGAAUUCACCUUUCCAGUGAGACUGAAGCUUUGCUGAAGAUUUAUCGCCCCCUGGAGGACAAUAGUAUAAUAUAUCUCUUCAGAUGUCCAGGCAUCCAAAUGGCAGGAGUUCUCUGGAUCUGACCUCAAAAGCUAGGCCUGAAAUGAAUACAUUGUGGGUCUCU